GAUGAACGCUGACAGAAUGCUUAACACAUGCAAGUCAACUUGAAUUUGGGUUUUUAACUUAGAUUUGGGUGGCGGACGGGUGAGUAACGCGUAAAGAACUUGCCUCACAGCUAGGGACAACAUUUAGAAAUGAAUGCUAAUACCUGAUAUUAUGAUUUUAAGGCAUCUUAGAAUUAUGAAAGCUAUAAGCACUGUGAGAGAGCUUUGCGUCCCAUUAGCUAGUUGGAGAGGUAACGGCUCACCAAGGCGAUGAUGGGUAGCCGGCCUGAGAGGGUGAUCGGCCACAAGGGGACUGAGACACGGCCCUUACUCCUACGGGAGGCAGCAGUGGGGAAUAUUGGACAAUGGACCAAGAGUCUGAUCCAGCAAUUCUGUGUGCACGAUGAAGUUUUUCGGAAUGUAAAGUGCUUUCAGUUGGGAAGAAAGAAAUGACGGUACCAACAGAAGAAGUGACGGCUAAAUACGUGCCAGCAGCCGCGGUAAUACGUAUGUCACGAGCGUUAUCCGGAUUUAUUGGGCGUAAAGCGCGUCUAGGUGGUUAUGUAAGUCUGAUGUGAAAAUGCAGGGCUCAACUCUGUAUUGCGUUGGAAACUGUAUAACUAGAGUACUGGAGAGGUAAGCGGAACUACAAGUGUAGAGGUGAAAUUCGUAGAUAUUUGUAGGAAUGCCGAUGGGGAAGCCAGCUUACUGGACAGAUACUGACGCUGAAGCGCGAAAGCGUGGGUAGCAAACAGG
rnacentral:rRNA from 1 species